CCAGGGAGGUGAGAGGGUACCUGCUGGAGAGAGGUGGUGGGUAGCUGGAAGCGGCUGGCUAGGAGGCGGGGCGUGGGGCGUGGGGCGGUGGAACUCCUGUGCUGCGGCAUUCACGUGAUCUGCCCGGGCGCAGAUGUGGGCACCGGUCCGAGUGCCCGCCCUCUGUCCCCUCGGCUCGGUCCCGUCUGCUCCAGUUCCUGGGCUCCUAAUUCUUGGUCCAGCUUCUUCCAGGACAGGAAA
rnacentral:lncRNA from 1 species